rnacentral:misc_RNA from 1 species
GUAUAGAUUUCAAAAGAACAUAAAGCUCUUUUUAGAAUAAUGACAUUCAAAACUGUUGUUUAAGAAAAAUACAUAGACACCAGGGGAAGCCAACCUAAAAAGAAGGCCAGCAAACCCCCAAGGCAGGGUCUACAAAAGGUGCACAGGUGAUAAAUGAGAAAGAUUUAAGAAGGCUGUGCACAUGCUCCAAAAAAGCCAGCAACAAACCCUCCCCUUUUCUUGCAUUAAUGAUCCUUCCGCAGGUUCACCUACGGAAA